GAUGAACGCUGGCGGCAGGCCUAACACAUGCAAGUCGAGCGAAGCGGGGACGGGUGAGUAACACGUGGAGAACAUCCUAUAAGAAUGGGAAAACAUCGGGAAAACGGAGCUAAACCGGAUAAAUAUAGAUGGAGCUGCGCUGCAAUAGCUGGUUGGUAAGGUAACGGCUUACCAAGGCAACGAUGCAUAGCCGGCCUGAGAGGGUGAUCGUCCACUCUGGGCCUGUGACACGGUCCAGACUCCUACGGGAGGCAGCAGUGGGGAAUAUUCCACAAUGGGCGAAAGCCUGACGGAGCCACGCCGCGUGAGUGAUGAUGGUCUUCGGAUCGUAAAACUCUUUCAUUAGGGAAGCGUUACCUAAUCAGAAAGCCCCGGCUAACUACGUGCCAGCCGCCGCGGUAAUUC
rnacentral:rRNA from 1 species